AUAUACAGCCAUAGCACCCUGAGAAUGCCCGAUCUCGGAAGCUAAGCAGGGUCAGGCCCGGUCAGUACUUGGAUGGGAGACCAGUUGGGAAUCCCGGGUGCUGUGGGCU
rnacentral:rRNA from 1 species